rnacentral:rRNA from 1 species
AGGACGAACGCUGGCGGCGUGCCUAACACAUGCAAGUCGAACGAGGUCCAACCGGUGGCAACACUGGUGAAGACCUAGUGGCGAACGGGUGAGUAACACGUGAGCAACCUGCCUCGAAGACUGGGAUAACCCCGGGAAACCGGAGCUAAUACCGGAUACCCCCAUCGGGUCGCAUGGCCUGAUGAGGAAAUGGAUUCCGCUUUGAGAGGGGCUCGCGGCCUAUCAGCUUGAUGGUGGGGUAAUGGCCUACCAUGGCACCGACGGGUAGCUGGUCUGAGAGGACGAUCAGCCACACUGGGACUGAGACACGGCCCAGACUCCUACGGGAGGCAGCAGUGGGGAAUCUUGCGCAAUGGGCGAAAGCCUGACGCAGCAACGCCGCGUGUGGGACGAAGGCCUUCUGGGUUGUAAACCACUUUCAGCAGGGACGAUUGUGACGGUACCUGCAGAAGAAGCCCCGGCCAACUACGCGCCAGCAGCCGC